AGAGUUUGAUCCUGGCUCAGGAUGAACGCUGGCGGCGUGCCUAAUACAUGCAAGUUGAACGGUUUGUUGCUUUCGGGCAACGAAUAGUAGCGAACGGGUGAGUAACACGUAGGUAACCUGGCCUUUAGAGGGGGAUAACUGUAGGAAACUGCAGCUAAGACCGCAUAAAGAGGACAAGGCAUCUUGUCAAGAAGAAAUAUACUGCAAGGUAUAGCUAAAGGAUGGGCCUGCGGUGCAUUAGCUAGUUGGUGAGAAAAAAGCCCACCAAGGUAAUGAUGCAUAGCCGAUCUGAGAGGAUGACCGGCCACACUGGAACUGAGACACGGUCCAGACUCCUACGGGAGGCAGCAGUAGGGAAUUUUCGGCAAUGGGGGGAACCCUGACCGAGCAACGCCGCGUGAAUGAAGAAGGCCUUCGGGUUGUAAAAUUUUGUUGUUGAGGAAGAAAGGGCAUUAUAGGAAAUGAUGAUGCAUUGACAGUACUUAACGAGGAAGCCACGGCUAACUACGUGCCAGCAGCCGCGGUAAUACGUAGGUGGCAAGCGUUAUCCGGAAUUACUGGGCGUAAAGGGUGAGUAGGCGGUUUAAAAAGUCUGCAGUGAAAGGCAAUGGCUCAACCAAUGCAUGCUGUAGAAACUGAUAGACUAGAGUGCAGGAGAGGUUAACGGAAUUCCAUGUGUAGCGGUGAAAUGCGUAGAUAUAUGGAGGAACACCAGUGGCGAAGGCGGUUAACUGGACUGAAACUGACGCUGAGGCACGAAAGCGUGGGGAGCAAAUAGGAUUAGAUACCCUAGUAGUCCACGCUGUAAACGAUGAGUACUAAGUGUUGGGGGAGAACCCAGUGCUGAAGUAAACACAUUAAGUACUCCGCCUGUGAAGUACGCUCGCAAGAGUGAAACAUAAAGGAAUUGACGGGUGCCCGCACAAGCGGUGGAGCAUGUGGUUUAAUUCGACGCAACGCGAAGAACCUUACCAGGGCUUGACAUACCAAUAAAGGCCCCAGAGAUGGGGAGAUAGAUAUAUUGGAUACAGGUGGUGCAUGGUUGUCGUCAGCUCGUGUCGUGAGAUGUUGGGUUAAGUCCCGCAACGAGCGCAACCCUUGUCGAUAGUUGCCAACAGUAAGAUGGGGACUCUAUUGAGACUGCCUCUGUAAGGAGGAGGAAGGUGGGGAUGACGUCAAAUCAUCAUGCCCUUUAUGUCCUGGGCUACACACGUGCUACAAUGGGUAGGACAAAGAGCAGCGAGCCCGCGAGGGGGAGCGAAUCUCAUAAACCUAUUCUCAGUUCGGAUUGGAGUCUGCAACUCGACUGCAUGAAGAUGGAAUCGCUAGUAAUCGCGAAUCAGCAACGUCGCGGUGAAUACGUUCUCGGGCAUUGUACACACCGCCCGUCAAACCAUGAGAGUCGGAAAUACCCGAAGUCAUUAUCCUAACCCGCAAGGGAGGGAGGUGCCUAAGGUAGAGCUGAUGAUUGGGGUUAAGUCGUAACAAGGUAUCCCUACGGGAACGUGGGGAUG
rnacentral:rRNA from 1 species